ACCCGUUCCCAUACCGAACACGGAAGUUAAGCUUCUCAGCGCCGAUGGUAGUUAGGGGCUGUCCCCUUGUGAGAGUAGGACGUUGCCGGGC
rnacentral:rRNA from 1 species